UAGCUCAUGAAGUAACACUGUACCCUGUUCCUCCAGCUUACACAGACACCUGGUGGAACACCUAAAUGCUGAAAUUGUUCUUCAAACCAUUAGUGAUGUCAACAUGGCUCUGGACUGGAUACGGUCCACUUUCCUCUACAUUAGGGCACUGAAGAACCCCGCCCACUAUGGAUUCUCUGCUGACUUGGACAGAUAUGGAAUUGAAGGAAAAUUGCAAGAGCUGUGUCUGAAGAACCUCAACUCACUGUCAUCCAUUGAUCUGAUCACCAUGGAUGAAGAUAUCAACAUUAAAACAACAG